rnacentral:rRNA from 1 species
UACGUAGGGGGCAAGCGUUGUCCGGAAUCAUUGGGCGUAAAGAGCGUGUAGGCGGCCCGGUAAGUCCGCUGUGAAAGUCCAGGGCUCAACCCUGGGAUGCCGGUGGAUACUGUCGGGCUCGAGUCCGGAAGAGGAGUGUGGAAUUCCUGGUGUAGCGGUGAAAUGCGCAGAUAUCAGGAGGAACACCAAUGGCGAAGGCAGCUCUCUGGGACGUGACUGACGCUGAGACGCGAAAGCGUGGGGAGCAAACAGG